rnacentral:rRNA from 1 species
GAUGAACGCUAGCUAUAGGCUUAACACAUGCAAGUCGAGGGGAAACGGCAUUAUGUGCUUGCACAUUUUGGACGUCGACCGGCGCACGGGUGAGUAUCGCGUAUCCAACCUGCCCUUUACUUGGGGAUACCCCGUUGAAAGACGGCCUAAUACCCGAUGUAAUUCAUUGAUGGCAUCAGAUAUGAAUAAAAGAUUUAUCGGUAAAGGAUGGGGAUGCGUCUGAUUAGCUUGUUGGUGAGGUAACGGCUCACCAAGGCGACGAUCAGUAGGGGUUCUGAGAGGAAGGUCCCCCACAUUGGAACUGAGACACGGUCCAAACUCCUACGGGAGGCAGCAGUGAGGAAUAUUGGUCAAUGGGCGCAAGCCUGAACCAGCCAAGUAGCGUGCAGGAAGACGGCCCUAUGGGUUGUAAACUGCUUUUAUACGAGAAUAAUUUGAUGCACGUGUGCGUUAUUGCAUGUAUCGUAUGAAUAAGGACCGGCUAAUUCCGUGC